GUUCUCAGCUGGAUACAGUGGUUCAGUUGCAUCAGGGGAGAAGCAACCAUUUUAUUUAUAGCGGGGUGGAGAUGGGGUAGGAUCUAAGAUUUAUCAGGUGAGGGUUCAAUGAUGGCUUUACUUGCGCUAAUUGGUAGAUCUGACUUAACUAAGAAAUAAGGUCAAUAUCUGUCAAGUGAGGACUCAGAACUUAGAGAUCAAGUCUGUUGCGAUUUAUUUGAGAAGCAUUGGAUAAAAGUUAUCUACCUAUUGGUUGACAUAUUCAUCAAGAUCUG
rnacentral:lncRNA from 1 species